CCGGCGCACGGGUGAGUAACACGUAUCCAACCUGCCGUCUACUCUUGGCCAGCCUUCUGAAAGGAAGAUUAAUCCAGGAUGGUAUCAUGAGUUCACAUGUCCGCAUGAUUAAAGGUAUUUUCCGGUAGACGAUGGGGAUGCGUUCCAUUAGAUAGUAGGCGGGGUAACGGCCCACCUAGUCAACGAUGGAUAGGGGUUCUGAGAGGAAGGUCCCCCACAUUGGAACUGAGACACGGUCCAA
rnacentral:rRNA from 1 species